rnacentral:tRNA from 1 species
GGACGGGUGGCCGAGUGGCUUAAGGCGCACGCCUGGAGAGCGUGUGGGCGCCGCAAGCGCCUCGUGGGUUCGAAUCCCACCCCGUCCG